GUGCUUAACACAUGCAAGUCGAACGAGAAAGCUCCUUCGGGAGUGAGUACAGUGGCGAACGGGUGCGUAACACGUUGGUGACCUGCCUUGAGGAGGGGGACAACCGUGGGAAACCACGGCUAAUACCCCGGAUGUCUAAACUGUUAGAGGGUUUAGACUAAAACUUCGGUGCCUCAAGAGGGGCCUGCGGGCUAUCAGCUUGUUGGUGGGGUAAUGGCCUACCAAGGCUAAGACGGCUAGGGGGCGUGAGAGCGCGACCCCCCACAAUGGAACUGAGACACGGUCCAUACUCCUACGGGAGGCAGCAGUGAGGAAUAUUGCGCAAUGGGGGAAACCCUGACGCAGCAACGCCGCGUGAACGAUGAAGGCCUUCGGGUCGUAAAGUUCUGUUCUAAGGGAAGAUAGUGACGGUACCUUAGGAAUAAGUCCCGGCUAACUACGUGCCAGCAGCCGCGGUAAAACGUAGGGGGCGAGCGUUAUCCGGAUUUAUUGGGCGUAAAGCGCACGUAGGUGGCGCUGUAAGUUAGACGUGAAAGCUCUCGGCUCAACUGAGAGAGGUCGUUUAAAACUGCAGUGCUUGAGGUUAGAAGAGGAGAGCAGAAUUCCCGGUGUAGUGGUGGAAUGCGUAGAUAUCGGGAGGAGUACCAGUGGCGAAGGCGGCUCUCUAGUCUACACCUGACACUGAGGUGCGAAAGCGUGGGUAGCGAACGGGAUUAGAUACCCCGGUAGUCCACGCUGUAAACGAUGGAUACUAGGUGUAGGGGGUCAUUUAACCCCUCUGUGCCGAAGCAAACGCGUUAAGUAGCCCGCAUGGGGACGACGGCCGCAAGGUUAAAACGCAAAGGAAUUGACGGGGGCCCGCACAAGCAGCGGAGCGUGUGGUUUAAGUCGAGGAUACGCGAAGAACCUGACCCGGGCGGAACGACGUGGUAGUAGUGAAGCGAAAGCGG
rnacentral:rRNA from 1 species